rnacentral:rRNA from 1 species
CCUACGGGAGGCAGCAGUGGGGAAUAUUGCACAAUGGGGGAAACCCUGAUGCAGCGACGCCGCGUGAGCGAUGAAGUAUUUCGGUAUGUAAAGCUCUAUCAGCAGGGAAGAAAAUGACGGUACCUGACUAAGAAGCCCCGGCUAACUACGUGCCAGCAGCCGCGGUAAUACGUAGGGGGCAAGCGUUAUCCGGAUUUACUGGGUGUAAAGGGGGCGUAGACGGGUGUGCGAGCCAGAUGUGAAAGCCCGGGGCUUAAACCCGGGACUGCAUUUGGAACUGUGUGGCUGGAGUGUCAGAGAGGCAGGUGGAAUUCCAAGUGUAGCGGUGAAAUGCGUAGAUAUUAGGAAGAACACCAGUGGCGAAGGCGGCCUGCUGGACGAUGACUGACGUUGAGGCACGAAAGCGUGGGGAGCAAACAGGAUUAGAUACCCGAGUAGUC